rnacentral:lncRNA from 1 species
AUGAGGGCCGAGGUGCUGCUCGUCUUUGUCGGGGCGACCCUCUGCUGCACCCCGGUCUGCACUCAGCAAGCAGACCCGGAGGAGAAGGGGCUCUCCAGGGACCUGGCUUGGGUCAGCAAGGCCGGGGGGCCGCUUGAAGAGGGCCAAGGAAGGGGCAAGGAGGACGCUGAGCUGUCAGACGAGCCGGCUGGAGCGGUGGAGGACGGGAAGACAAAACCAAAGAAGAAAAAAACUCCAGAGGAAAUCGAGGCAGCCAGAGCGAUGAAGGCUGCAGAGAAAGAGGCCAAAGCCAAAAAGCAGAAAGGUCCUAAGCCCACCAAAAAACCCAAAUUGCCAAAACCAACUAAGAAACCAAAACCAACCAAGAAACCAAAACCAACCAAGAAACCAAAACCCACCAGGAGGCCAAAAACGACGACCACAGCACCGCUGGACGAGGAGGAGAGACUGCUGAUCGAGCUGGGCCUGAAAACACCGAUUGAACCUUCAACUCCUGUGGAGCCUACUGAGCCUGGUCAAGGUGAGCCAACAGUUCGACAGACAGACCAGAAAGAAAUCGCAACCACGGAGGUCAUCAUGUACAUACCAGGUAACCUAAGUGAACAGAGUUCUUAUGACCAUCAAGCCUCUUCAUUUGGUACAAAAACGAAGGAAAAUAUAGGCGAUCGGUUUGAAGCAGAAGAUGAAAUUACCAGGAGAGUUUCUUGA